rnacentral:pre_miRNA from 1 species
GCGUAGUUGUGCGUAGCGGUGGGUUAGUGGUUGUUGUGGGUUAGUUGUUGACACAACCACUAACCCACCGCUACGCACAACUACGCAC